rnacentral:rRNA from 1 species
CUACGGGUCGCUGCAGUGGGGAAUAUUGGACAAUGGGGGCAACCCUGAUCCAGCAAUGCCGCGUGAGUGAAGACGGCCUUAGGGUUGUAAAACUCUUUCGCUAGGGAAGAUAAUGACUGUACCUAGUAAAGAAGUCCCGGCUAACUCCGUGCCAGCAGCCGCGGUAAUACGGAGGGGACUAGCGUUGUUCGGAAUUACUGGGCGUAAAGAGUUCGUAGGCGGACUGACAAGUUAGAGGUGAAUUCCCAGGGCUCAACCCUGGAACUGCCUUUAAAACUGUCAGUCUAGAGACCGGAAGAGGUUAGGGGAAUACCUAGUGUAGAGGUGAAAUUCGUAGAUAUUAGGUGGAACACCAGUGGCGAAGGCGCCUAACUGGUCCGGUACUGACGCUGAGGAACGAAAGCGUGGGGAGCAAACAGGAUUAGAUACCCGGGUAGUC